rnacentral:rRNA from 1 species
UACGUAGGGUGCAAGCGUUAAUCGGAAUUACUGGGCGUAAAGGGCGCGUAGGCGGCCUUCUAAGUCAGACGUGAAAUCCCCCGGCUUAACCUGGGAACUGCGUCUGAUACUGGGAGGCUUGAGUAUGGGAGAGGGAUGUAGAAUUCCAGGUGUAGCGGUGAAAUGCGUAGAUAUCUGGAGGAAUACCGGUGGCGAAGGCGGCAUCCUGGACCAUUACUGACGCUGAGGCGCGAAAGCUAGGGGAGCAAACGGG